rnacentral:lncRNA from 1 species
UAUUCUCCAUACAAGCGAACUUUUAUUUUCAUAAAAUUAACUAAUCUGACAUCACUGUACAAGAACUGUUUGUGACUUAGGUUACUGACACCACAAAUGUAGCUCAGACAGGUAGACACCUGCAAAAUAAAUACACCACCCUAUAUGUGAAAAUGAAACAAAACAAGACUUUGUUUGUUUGUUGAGAAGGAAGAUAGGGUUUAAUGUAAAUACUAAAGGCCCAUGGGGCAACUAUUUUUGAACUGUGACUUUCGAAUUGUGACUUUUGGAUUGUGACUGUGUCUAUCUUUAGAUUUUGUAUACAUAGUUAUCAGAUUUAAAUUUGCAUACUAAAAUGUAUUUUCGUUUUUUUUUGGCCAAACGUUUAGAAAAAAAUGUUAUAAGACUUUUUUGCUCUACAUGGUGCCUUCUACCUAUAAGGAAUAUAUAUAAUAAUAUAUACUUUAUACUUAUACCUUUAAGGAACGCACUAUUUUCGAGAACACCCUGUAUACGCUGGCCUUUGCUUAUCUGAUACCUAAUACGAGUUUUGUAGUUUGGAAAACAACAUACUCAUUUAUUUUUGCACCAAUUAAUCAACCAAAUGGCGGAAUUGAGAGCAAGUUAAAAAAAAUUAGAGGAACGGUAGCCGAAUCAUAUUUGGAUAAAGGUUCAAACAUUUUUACAGCUUCAAACAUUUUUAUGCAUGUAUGCUAGCAAAGAGAAAAUGAAAUAAAGUUAAGAAAGUGGGGUUGGAUCGCUCACACGCUCUGAAAGAUAAUUCCAGUAUUGAAAAGACUGUCCUAGAGUGGAAUCCCCAA